UACGAAGGGGGCUAGCGUUGCUCGGAAUGACUGGGCGUAAAGGGCGCGUAGGCGGCUCAUACAGUUAGAUGUGAAAUUCCUGGGCUUAACCUGGAGGCUGCAUUUGAUACGUGUGGGCUUGAGUGGGGAAGAGGGUCGUGGAAUUCCCAGUGUAGAGGUGAAAUUCGUAGAUAUUGGGAAGAACACCGGUGGCGAAGGCGGCGACCUGGUCCUUGACUGACGCUGAGGCGCGAAAGCGUGGGGAGCAAACAGG
rnacentral:rRNA from 1 species